rnacentral:misc_RNA from 1 species
CAGAGAUCAUGCCCUCACGGGUAGACCUCCCACCCUGUGUUAUUUACUAUUGUUGCUUUGGCAGGCCGCCUUCGGGCUCUCGGCUUCGGCUGGGGUGCGCCUGCCAGAGGACCCCAACUCUGUGUUAAUUGUCGUCUGAGUACUAUAUAAUAAGUUA